GAUGAACGCUGGCGGCGUGCCUAAUACAUGCAAGUCGAGCGAACAGACGAGGAGCUUGCUCCUCUGACGUUAGCGGCGGACGGGUGAGUAACACGUGGAUAACCUACCUAUAAGACUGGGAUAACUUCGGGAAACCGGAGCUAAUACCGGAUAAUAUAUUGAACCGCAUGGUUCAAUAGUGAAAGACGGUUUUGCUGUCACUUAUAGAUGGAUCCGCGCCGCAUUAGCUAGUUGGUAAGGUAACGGCUUACCAAGGCAACGAUGCGUAGCCGACCUGAGAGCGUGGUCGGCCACCCUGGAACUGAGACACGGUCCACACUCCUACGGGAGGCAGCAGUAGGGAAUCUUCCGCAAUGGGCGAAAGCCUGACGGAGCAACGCCGCGUGAGUGAUGAAGGUCUUCGGAUCGUAAAACUCUGUUAUUAGGGAAGAACAAAUGUGUAAGUAACUAUGCACGUCUUGACGGUACCUAAUCAGAAAGCCACGGCUAACUACGUG
rnacentral:rRNA from 1 species